AUGCGUCAUUUUGAAAAAGGAGACCAUGUUUCAGCUUUGGUGACGGGGGAAUUUUAUACAAAGAAAGAGCACUUUCCAGGAUUUGCACGGCCGUUUGUAUUCAAUGCUGAAGUUUUGCUGAAGGUUGGGCGUAAGCUAGAAGCCAAGGAUGCUGCCAGGGGAGCUCUGAAGUCACCAUGGUGGACUCUGGGUUGCAGGUACCAGGAAGUGGC
rnacentral:misc_RNA from 1 species